rnacentral:misc_RNA from 1 species
GAUGAAGAACGCAGCGAAAUGCGAUAAGUAAUGUGAAUUGCUGAAUUCAGUGAAUCAUCGAAUCUUUGAACGCAUCUUGCGCUCCUUGGUAUUCUGAGGAGCAUGCCUGUUUGAGUGUCAUUAAAUUCUCAACUACACUGACUUUGAAUUGGUGUGGCUUGGAUUUGGGGGGAAAAUUGUUGUGGGCUUUUUGUAUAGUCUGCUCCCCUGAAAUUGAUUAGCGGUACCUUUGUGGAACUGUCUACAGGUGUGAUAAUUAUCUACAUCUUAGACAUCUGCUGGAAUGCUGCUUUCUAAACCUUACUUGUAUUGACAAUCUUGACCUCAAAUCAGGUAGGACUACCCGCUGAACUUAAGCAUAUCAAUAAGCGGAGGA